UCAUAAGUAAAAUAGCAUUUGAAGCUGGAGAAAAAAGGAAAGAAAAUAAAAUAUAAUUAGUCGUUGUUAGAGCACUCGCUCUCUUUUAUAUUGAAGGCUCAAGGCUUCCCUCAAACCACUUUCCUCUAUGAUACAAGUAUAGAAGGGGAGAGAGAGAGAGAGAGAGAGAGAGAGAGACUUCUACGGAGGAGUUUCUAUGUUUCUACUGCAACUAGAGGAGGCAUCCAAAGGGAUCGCAUUGAUCCCGAGUGUCCCUGGCCAUAAUUUUGGAUCAUGCUAUCCCUUUGGAUUCCUCCUUUGGUGGCUUCUAUAGCAUUAACGGGUUUCAGUGGCGAUGCUCCACACUCCCUUCUCGUGCAUCAUCAACACCAGCAACUUCAACAUGGCUCGAGAAAGAGAAUUAUAUAAUACCAACAGAUCAACCCCGUUUGGUUAAUCCAAUUCAAUAGCAAACUCAUUAUUUAAGAUUCUAAAUGAGUCUUUGCAAUCCAAAACCGAAACUCGGCAUGAAGUCAUUGGAUCUGAACUUAAGAAGGCUACAUACAACUUGCUCCUAAGAAAUAAAUGGACAAUGGCUCCAAGAAAAUCUUCAAGAGAGGUGCGUGUAUAUCUUGUUGUUAUUGUUGCUUACAGUUGUCCUGGAUGUGAUUUGCUAAUUUUAUUAAAUACACAUCUACUCCUUUAAGAUAUAUGGCAAACCUGAAAUCAAGGAUAUUGGAUAUUUAUUCCUUCUUUAAAAAACAUGUGAGACAAUAAAUUUAUAUGGGUGUUGAGGAAGAUGUCCGCACCGGAUCUUUAAUAGAUCUUUUGUUGUUUUCAAGCAAUGUAAGUGAAGUCUUAGGUGUCAAAUGAGUUCAUAGUUCGAUUAGUAAUCACAUUCCCCUCCUCUCAGAAAGUAUGAGGUUCUAACCUCUCCUUUGUAACGAAGGGAUGAGGUUUUUUGCCGGAGCUUCUACACAAUCACGAGCUGACUCCUCUUAUUUUUCGCUGAAAGAAUUUAAACCAACUUUGGAAAUUCUUGGUGAAGGGAAAAUUGCUCUUGCAGCUAAUUUACAUGCAUAUGUACAUUCUGUCUCUUACAAACUACAAGCUUUGAUUCUUUUCAUUAUACAUCGUCAUCAACGUGAUAACCAAGUGGAAGCUAGCUAUUCGCAACUAUUGCAAAUAAAACAGUGCCCCUUGUAUUGAAGAUGAUAUAAUUAAUUUCUACCCAUAUCAAUGCUUUGGCAAGAAUUUAUCCCAUUUCCUUACGCUUCCAACAAAUUGAUUUCACCUUUUCAAAGGUUUGACCCUUUUCUUCAGAUUAACGCUAACAAUUAACUGCAGGUUUGUAAUAGUUUCUGGCUUAACCUAACUCCUAUUGACAUUAAUUACUUGCCUAAACCAUCUCUAAAAAGCUAUGAAACAUGGGUUAAAGGUCCUAAACCACUCGAUCUAUGGUAUGGUCGUAUGCCAUGUGGCCCUGGAUCAAGGUCCAAAUCACAUGGUUUGAGGACUUUAAUUAGAAUCCAAGGCAGUGGAAGAUGAUAUUAAAGGACUUCUUUUUACCACUUUGGGCCUCAAAUUGAGUGUCCCAAAGGCAAAGGAAUCAUACACAUGUGAUGAGACCUUAAAAAAGUCCUUUAUACUUGCCCUAAUUUUUGAAAUAAAGGGUCUUUAUGUGAUCCCUCCUAGCACAUGACACCAACAUUCUAGUAAUGUCUUACCAUUUGAUCCCUUUUGUCACAUGGACCCAACACCUUUCUGCAUUAGGUUCCCAUUUUUUCUCUAACACCAAGCAUUUAUGCGUCUCUCGCGCAUUCAAGCAUCAAUAUAAGGAUAACUUUAAAAUAGAACCGCCACCACUAACACAUGUAAUUGAGCUUUUCUAGAUAUGGUUAUCCUUUCCUUUUUCCAUAAACGUUCACGUUAGUAUAGCUAGUGUUGCAUAUUCUGAUACCUACUGGUAUCAAAUAUUUGUUGAUUAGAUGUUUGUAAAUAAGUGCUCAAGGUUUAUCCUUUUCUAUUGAGGUUAAUUAUUUA